GACGAACGCUGGCGGCGUGCUUAACACAUGCAAGUCGAACGGAAAGGCCCCUUCGGGGGUACUCGAGUGGCGAACGGGUGAGUAACACGUGGGUGACCUGCCCUGCACUUCGGGAUAAGCCUGGGAAACUGGGUCUAAUACCGGAUAGGACCGCAUCGUGAGGAUGUGGUGGAAAGUUUUUUCGGUGCAGGAUGGGCCCGCGGCCUAUCAGCUUGUUGGUGGGGUAAUGGCCUACCAAGGCGGCGACGGGUAGCCGGCCUGAGAGGGUGGACGGCCACAUUGGGACUGAGACACGGCCCAGACUCCUACGGGAGGCAGCAGUGGGGAAUAUUGCACAAUGGGCGCAAGCCUGAUGCAGCGACGCCGCGUGGGGGAUGAAGGCCUUCGGGUUGUAAACUCCUUUCAUCAUCGACGAAGGGCUCACUUGUUGUGGGUUUGACGGUAGGUGGAGAAGAAGCACCGGCUAACUACGUGCCAGCCGCCGCCGUAAUAC
rnacentral:rRNA from 1 species